rnacentral:rRNA from 1 species
UUAAGCGACUAAGCGUACACGGUGGAUGCCCUGGCAGUCAGAGGCGAUGAAGGGCGUGCUAAUCUGCGAUAAGCGCCGGUAAGGUGAUAUGAACCGUUAUAACCGGCGAUACCCGAAUGGGGAAACCCAGUGUGAUUCGUCACACUAUCAUUAACUGAAUCCAUAGGUUAAUGAGGCGAACCGGGGGAACUGAAACAUCUAAGUACCCCGAGGAAAAGAAAUCAACCGAGAUUCCCCCAGUAGCGGCGAGCGAACGGGGAGGAGCCCAGAGCCUGAAUCAGCAUGUGUGUUAGUGGAAGCGUCUGGAAAGGCGCGCGAUACAGGGUGACAGCCCCGUACACAAAAGCGCAUGUGCUGUGAGCUCGAUGAGUAGGGCGGGACACGUGGUAUCCUGUCUGAAUAUGGGGGGACCAUCCUCCAAGGCUAAAUACUCCUGACUGACCGAUAGUGAACCAGUACCGUGAGGGAAAGGCGAAAAGAACCCCGGCGAGGGGAGUGAAAAAGAACCUGAAACCGUGUACGUACAAGCAGUGGGAGCACCCUUCGGGGUGUGACUGCGUACCUUUUGUAUAAUGGGUCAGCGACUUAUAUUCUGUAGCAAGGUUAACCGAAUAGGGGAGCCGGAGGGAAACCGAGUCUUAAUUGGGCGUUAAGUUGCAGGGUAUAGACCCGAAACCCGGUGAUCUAGCCAUGGGCAGGUUGAAGGUUGGGUAACACUAACUGGAGGACCGAACCGACUAAUGUUGAAAAAUUAGCGGAUGACCUGUGGCUGGGGGUGAAAGGCCAAUCAAACCGGGAGAUAGCUGGUUCUCCCCGAAAGCUAUUUAGGUAGCGCCUCGUGAAUUCAUCUCCGGGGGUAGAGCACUGUUUCGGCUAGGGGGCCAUCCCGGCUUACCAACCCGAUGCAAACUGCGAAUACCGGAGAAUGUUAUCACGGGAGACACACGGCGGGUGCUAACGUCCGUCGUGAAGAGGGAAACAACCCAGACCGCCAGCUAAGGUCCCAAAGUCAUGGUUAAGUGGGAAACGAUGUGGGAAGGCCCAGACAGCCAGGAUGUUGGCUUAGAAGCAGCCAUCAUUUAAAGAAAGCGUAAUAGCUCACUGGUCGAGUCGGCCUGCGCGGAAGAUGUAACGGGGCUAAACCAUGCACCGAAGCUGCGGCAGCGAACGUAUCACUUAAAGCGAUUCAGCGGGUUACGAUUGACGGAGCGAAGCGACGUCAAAGCGUAUACAAAGUCGAGUCGGUUUAAGGAUACGUUCGUUGGGUAGGGGAGCGUUCUGUAAGCCUGUGAAGGUGGCCUGUGAGGGUUGCUGGAGGUAUCAGAAGUGCGAAUGCUGACAUAAGUAACGAUAAAGCGGGUGAAAAGCCCGCUCGCCGGAAGACCAAGGGUUCCUGUCCAACGUUAAUCGGGGCAGGGUGAGUCGACCCCUAAGGCGAGGCCGAAAGGCGUAGUCGAUGGGAAACGGGUUAAUAUUCCCGUACUUGGUGUUACUGCGAAGGGGGGACGGAGAAGGCUAUGUUGGCCGGGCGACGGUUGUCCCGGUUUAAGCGUGUAGGUGUGUGUUCCAGGUAAAUCCGGUUCACUUUAACACUGAGGCGUGACGACGAGGCACUACGGUGCUGAAGCAACAAAUGCCCUGCUUCCAGGAAAAGCCUCUAAGCAUCAGGUAACAUCAAAUCGUACCCCAAACCGACACAGGUGGUCAGGUAGAGAAUACCAAGGCGCUUGAGAGAACUCGGGUGAAGGAACUAGGCAAAAUGGUGCCGUAACUUCGGGAGAAGGCACGCUGACACGUAGGUGAAGUGAUUUACUCAUGGAGCUGAAGUCAGUCGAAGAUACCAGCUGGCUGCAACUGUUUAUUAAAAACACAGCACUGUGCAAACACGAAAGUGGACGUAUACGGUGUGACGCCUGCCCGGUGCCGGAAGGUUAAUUGAUGGGGUCAGCGCAAGCGAAGCUCCUGAUCGAAGCCCCGGUAAACGGCGGCCGUAACUAUAACGGUCCUAAGGUAGCGAAAUUCCUUGUCGGGUAAGUUCCGACCUGCACGAAUGGCGUAAUGAUGGCCAGGCUGUCUCCACCCGAGACUCAGUGAAAUUGAACUCGCUGUGAAGAUGCAGUGUACCCGCGGCAAGACGGAAAGACCCCGUGAACCUUUACUAUAGCUUGACACUGAACAUUGAGCCUUGAUGUGUAGGAUAGGUGGGAGGCUUUGAAGCGUGGACGCCAGUCUGCGUGGAGCCGACCUUGAAAUACCACCCUUUAAUGUUUGAUGUUCUAACGUGGACCCGUAAUCCGGGUUGCGGACAGUGUCUGGUGGGUAGUUUGACUGGGGCGGUCUCCUCCUAAAGAGUAACGGAGGAGCACGAAGGUUGGCUAAUCCUGGUCGGACAUCAGGAGGUUAGUGCAAUGGCAUAAGCCAGCUUGACUGCGAGCGUGACGGCGCGAGCAGGUGCGAAAGCAGGUCAUAGUGAUCCGGUGGUUCUGAAUGGAAGGGCCAUCGCUCAACGGAUAAAAGGUACUCCGGGGAUAACAGGCUGAUACCGCCCAAGAGUUCAUAUCGACGGCGGUGUUUGGCACCUCGAUGUCGGCUCAUCACAUCCUGGGGCUGAAGUAGGUCCCAAGGGUAUGGCUGUUCGCCAUUUAAAGUGGUACGCGAGCUGGGUUUAGAACGUCGUGAGACAGUUCGGUCCCUAUCUGCCGUGGGCGCUGGAGAACUGAGGGGGGCUGCUCCUAGUACGAGAGGACCGGAGUGGACGCAUCACUGGUGUUCGGGUUGUCAUGCCAAUGGCACUGCCCGGUAGCUAAAUGCGGAAGAGAUAAGUGCUGAAAGCAUCUAAGCACGAAACUUGCCCCGAGAUGAGUUCUCCCUGAGACUUAGAGUCUCCUGAAGGAACGUUGAAGACGACGACGUUGAUAGGCCGGGUGUGUAAGCGCAGCGAUGCGUUGAGCUAACCGGUACUAAUGAACCGUGAGGCUUAACCUU